rnacentral:rRNA from 1 species
UACGUAGGGCGCGAGCGUUAAUCGGAAUUACUGGGCGUAAAGCGUGCGCAGGCGGUUUUGUAAGUCAGAUGUGAAAGCCCCGGGCUUAACCUGGGAAUGGCAUUUGGGACUGCAAGGCUUGAGUGCGGCAGAGGAGACUGGAAUUCCUGGUGUAGCAGUGAAAUGCGUAGAUAUCAGGAGGAAUACCGAUGGCGAAGGCAGGUCUCUGGGCUGACACUGACGCUCAUGCACGAAAGCGUGGGGAGCAAACAGG